rnacentral:rRNA from 1 species
GACGAACGCUGGCGGCGUGCCUAAUACAUGCAAGUAGAACGCUGAAGGAGGAGCUUGCUUCUCCGGAUGAGUUGCGAACGGGUGAGUAACGCGUAGGUAACCUGCCUGGUAGCGGGGGAUAACUAUUGGAAACGAUAGCUAAUACCGCAUAACAGUAGAUAUUGCAUGAUAUCUGCUUGAAAGGUGCAAUUGCAUCACUACCAGAUGGACCUGCGUUGUAUUAGCUAGUUGGUGAGGUAACGGCUCACCAAGGCGACGAUACAUAGCCGACCUGAGAGGGUGAUCGGCCACACUGGGACUGGGACACGGCCCAGACUCCUACGGGAGGCAGCAGUAGGGAAUCUUCGGCAAUGGACGGAAGUCUGACCGAGCAACGCCGCGUGAGUGAAGAAGGUUUUCGGAUCGUAAAGCUCUGUUGUAAGAGAAGAACGAGUGUGAGAGUGGAAAGUUCACACUGUGACGGUAUCUUACCAGAAAGGGACGGCUAACUACGUG